AUGACAAGUUAAUUUAAGUUUCCAUGAUGACUACCCACAAUUCUGAUAUAAUGGAAGCAGCACUGGAAUUGUUUUUUUAAAAAGUGGCAGACUGAGUUUACAGAAAAUGUGUGUGUGUGUGUGUUUAAUGAAAA